UAGGGAAUCUUCGGCAAUGGGGGCAACCCUGACCGAGCAACGCCGCGUGAGUGAAGAAGGUUUUCGGAUCGUAAAGCUCUGUUGUAAGAGAAGAACGUGUGUGAGAGUGGAAAGUUCACACAGUGACGGUAACUUACCAGAAAGCCACGGCUAACUACGUGCCAG
rnacentral:rRNA from 1 species